rnacentral:SRP_RNA from 1 species
GCUGGGUAUAUUGGUAUGUGCCUCUAUAAUCCCUGUUACAGGGAGGCUGAAGCUGGUGGAUUACUUGAGCUCAGGAGUUCUGAGCUACAGUAGAUUAAGCCAAUUUGGUGUCCACACUAAGUUGGGCAACAAUAUGAUGAGCCUCCUAGAUUGGGAGACCCCCAGGCUGCCUAAGGAGGGGCAAAAUGGCCCAGGCUGGAAAUAGACCAGUCUGGGGUAUAUAAAGCAAUGGAAUCAGGCCUAGGAGUGGCCACUACACUUCCUGCCUGAGUGAAAUAGAGACCCAGUUUUU